CAAAGGCUUGGUCCUGACUUUACUAUCAACUUUAGACGAAAUUACACAUGCAAGUAUCCGCACUCCUGUGAGAAUGCCCUACAGUUCCCUGUCCGGGAACAAGGAGCAGGUAUCAGGCACACUCAUCAAGCCCAUAACACCUUGUUCAGCCACACCCUCAAGGGAACUCAGCAGUGAUAAACAUUAAGCCAUAAGUGAAAACUUGACUUAGUUAAAGCUAAAAGGGCCGGUAAAACUCGUGCCAGCCACCGCGGUUAUACGAGAGGCCCAAGUUGAAAGACACCGGCGUAAAGCGUGGUUAAGCUAAAAUUUAAAUUAAAGUUAAACAUCUUCAAGACUGUUAUACGUAUCCGAAGACAGGAACCUCAAUUACGAAAGUAACUUUAUAUAAGCUGAAUCCACGAAAGCUAUGGCACAAACUGGGAUUAGAUACCCCACUAUG
rnacentral:rRNA from 1 species